ACUACGGGCGGCUGCAGUGGGGAAUAUUGCACAAUGGGCGCAAGCCUGAUGCAGCCAUGCCGCGUGUGUGAAGAAGGCCUUCAGGUUGUAAAGCACUUUCAGCGGGGAGGAAGGCGGUGAGGUUAAUAACCUCAUCGAUUGACGUUACCCGCAGAAGAAGCACCGGCUAACUCCGUGCCAGCAGCCGCGGUAAUACGGAGGGUGCAAGCGUUAAUCGGAAUUACUGGGCGUAAAGCGCACGCAGGCGGUCUGUCAAGUCGGAUGUGAAAUCCCCGGGCUCAACCUGGGAACUGCAUUCGAAACUGGCAGGCUAGAGUCUUGUAGAGGGGGGUAGAAUUCCAGGUGUAGCGGUGAAAUGCGUAGAGAUCUGGAGGAAUACCGGUGGCGAAGGCGGCCCCCUGGACAAAGACUGACGCUCAGGUGCGAAAGCGUGGGGAGCAAACAGGAUUAGAUACCCCAGUAGUC
rnacentral:rRNA from 1 species